CCUGCAAGUCCUCAAGGCCUGGGGAGGCCUCAUCCCCUCCUCAUUUCAGCAACAGCACACAGGACAAUACGCUCUAGAAGAACUCUUUGACUUAAAGGUAUAUGAUUGUUUUUGUUCCUUUAACAUGAACGUGAGUCUGGAGAAACAGCUACGGCCAUCCCAGCCCUGGCCAAGGGGAAAAUGCCGGAAGACUCCAGGGUGGGAGGAAGCGCGUCCCAAGGCCCAGGAUCUGCGAGGCGACUUGGGGAAAACGCAGGCAGAAAAUAAAGCAUGCGAAGAAGUUAACUUGGUGCCAUUGGGCAGAGGGUGAGAGCCCAGCAAACCGGAGAGAUCAGCUGCCCACAUCAGUGGCGAGGAGUGCGGAGAGUGGGUGAGGCUGGGGCAGGAAGCAGGCCAGCCUGCCAGAGCCCAGGAACAGGAUCCACCUCUGAUGUUCAGUGAAGACUACCAGAAAAGUCUGCUAGAGCAGUACCAUCUGGGUCUGGAUCAAAAACUCAGAAAAUACGUGGUUGGAGAGCUCAUCUGGAAUUUUGCCGAUUUCAU
rnacentral:lncRNA from 10 species